AGUGAACGCUGGCGGUAGGCCUAACACAUGCAAGUCGAACGGCAGCACAGUAAGAGCUUGCUCUUACGGGUGGCGAGUGGCGGACGGGUGAGGAAUACAUCGGAAUCUACUUUUUCGUGGGGGAUAACGUAGGGAAACUUACGCUAAUACCGCAUACGACCUACGGGUGAAAGCAGGGGAUCUUUGGACCUUGCGCGAUUGAAUGAGCCGAUGUCGGAUUAGUUAGUUGGCGGGGUAAAGGCCCACCAAGGCGACGAUCCGUAGCUGGUCUGAGGGGAUGAUCAGCCACACUGGAGCUGAGACACGGUCCAGGCUCCUACGGGAGGCAGCAGUGGGGAAUAUUGGACAAUGGGCGCAAGCCUGAUCCAGCCAUGCCGCGUGGGUGAAGAAGGCCUUCGUGUUGUAAAGCCCUUUUGUUGGGAAAGAAAAGCAGCAGGUUAAUACACCGCUGUUCGAACGGUACCCAAAGAAUAGACACCGGCUAACUUCGU
rnacentral:rRNA from 1 species